rnacentral:lncRNA from 1 species
UCAUUUCUUGACAACAAUAUACAAAAUUUAGCAAAACAAGAACACUAAUAACACUAUCAAUCUUCUCAUUUCUUGAUAAGAAUAUACAAAAUUAGCGAAACAAGAACACUAAUAACACUAUCAAUCUUCUCAUUUCUUGAUAAGAAUAUACAAAAUUUAGCAAAACAAGAACACUAAUAAUACUAUCAACCAUCUCAUUUCUUGAUAACAAUAUAUAAAAUUUAGCAAAACAAGAACACUAAAAACACUAUCAAUCUUCUCAUUUCUUGAUAACAAUAUACAAAAUUUAGCAAAACAAGAACACUAAUAACACUAUCGACCUUCUCAUUUCUUGAUAACAAUAUACAAAAUUUAGUAAAACAAGAACACUAAAAACACUACCAAUCUUCUCAUUUCUUGAUAACAAUAUACAAAAUUUAGCAAAACAAGAACACUAAUAACACUAUCAAUCUUCUCAUUUCUUGAUAACAAUAUACAAAAUUUAGCAAAACAAGAACACUAAUAACACUAUCCAUCUUCUCCUUUCUUGGCAACAAUAUACAAAAUUAGCAAAACAAGAACACUAAUAACACAAUCGAU